AUGAACGCUAGCUACAGGCUUAACACCUGCAAGUCGAGGGGCAGCAUGACCUAGCAAUAGGUUGAUGGCGACCGGCGCACGGGUGAGUAACACGUAUCCAACCUGCCGAUUAUUCCGGGAUAGCCUUUCGAAAGAAAGAUUAAUACUGGAUAGCAUAACGAGAAGGCAUCUUCUUGUUAUUAAAGAAUUUCGAUAAUCGAUGGGGAUGCGUUCCAUUAGUUUGUUGGCGGGGUAACGGCCCACCAAGACAUCGAUGGAUAGGGGUUCUGAGAGGAAGGUCCCCCACAUUGGAACUGAGACACGGUCCAAACUCCUACGGGAGGCAGCAGUGAGGAAUAUUGGUCAAUGGACGAGAGUCUGAACCAGCCAAGUAGCGUGAAGGAUGACUGCCCUAUGGGUUGUAAACUUCUUUUAUAUGGGAAUAAAGUGGGCCACGUGUGGCUUUUUGUAUGUACCAUACGAAUAAGGAUCGGCUAACUCCGUG
rnacentral:rRNA from 1 species